rnacentral:rRNA from 1 species
CCUACAGGUGGCUGCAGUGGGGAAUAUUGGACAAUGGGGGCAACCCUGAUCCAGCCAUGCCGCGUGUGUGAAGAAGGCCCUCGGGUUGUAAAGCACUUUCAGUGAGGAAGAACGCCUGGUGGUUAAUACCCAUCAGGAAAGACAUCACUCACAGAAGAAGCACCGGCUAACUCCGUGCCAGCAGCCGCGGUAAUACGGAGGGUGCGAGCGUUAAUCGGAAUUACUGGGCGUAAAGCGCGCGUAGGUGGCUUGAUAAGCCGGUUGUGAAAGCCCCGGGCUCAACCUGGGAACGGCAUCCGGAACUGUCAAGCUAGAGUGCAGGAGAGGAAGGUAGAAUUCCCGGUGUAGCGGUGAAAUGCGUAGAGAUCGGGAGGAAUACCAGUGGCGAAGGCGGCCUUCUGGACUGACACUGACACUGAGGUGCGAAAGCGUGGGUAGCAAACAGGAUUAGAUACCCCUGUAGUC